GACGAACGCUGGCGGCGUGCUUAACACAUGCAAGUCGAACGGAAAGGCCCUGCUCUUGUGGGGUGCUCGAGUGGCGAACGGGUGAGUAACACGUGUGUAACCUGCCCUUGACUUUGGGAUAACUUCAGGAAACUGGGGCUAAUACCGGAUAGGAGCUCCUGCUGCAUGGUGGGGGUGGGAAAGUUUCGGCGGUUGGGGAUGGACUCGCGGCUUAUCAGCUUGUUGGUGGGGUAGUGGCUUACCAAGGCUUUGACGGGUAGCCGGCCUGAGAGGGUGACGGGCCACAUUGGGACUGAGAUACGGCCCAGACUCCUACGGGAGGCAGCGGUGGGAAAUAUUGAACAAUGGGCGGAAGCCUGAUGCAGCAAGGCGGCGUGCGGGAUAACGGCCUUCGGUUGGUAAACCGCUUUCGCCUGUGACGAGGCGUGAGUGACGGUAAUGGGUAAAGAAGCGCCGGCUAACUACGUG
rnacentral:rRNA from 1 species